UGGGUUUUGGCCAUUUAUGGGCUUUGGCUG
rnacentral:rRNA from 1 species